GGGCCUGUAGUGUAGCUUGGAUAUCACGGGAGGCUUCGGACCUCCAAAGCGGGGUUCAAAUCCCUGCAGGCCCACCA
rnacentral:tRNA from 1 species